UAACAAAAGAAAAUCAAUGAAAAAAAAUAAAAAAAAUAAAUAGGAGGAAACCCCCCUAACAAGACCACGGUCAAUCGAUUUUUUCAUCCUACUCUAAUCUCCCCUAUUUGAACCACCAUUCAUCAUCUACCACCUCCAUUUUUCCCUCCAAACAUUUGCCUAUAAAUACACAGAGGAACUAAGCUUUGAAAUCAGAAAUUCAAACCACAAAAAAUCACAAAAUUUUUCUCCUCUCACUCCUCCUCUUCUCACGGCACCACCACACCACCACCACUGUGCACCACCUUUUGCGCACCACCACCCCCUGACCAACGAACCCACGACAGUCCUUCACCGAAGCUGCACUGCACGUGGUGCCACCAACACCAGUCUUGCUCGACGCUCCCCUGUUUCGGUCGUACUCGCUGCUCUGCCCUUCUGCUGCCGUCGCUUGGACUUGUGCGUUGCACCGACGAACGCCGCUGACCUCCCGUGCUGCGGCCUGCAAGUCAACCAGACGCGACCGCAGCCGGAGCUCCUUUCGUUCCCUGCUGUGUCGUCCCUGCUCUAAGUAGCAGAGAUUAAAGGAAGGAAUAUUACCAGCCUCCCUCGGCUCUCAAGAAAACGUAACUACGGUCCCAGGUACUGAUGAUGAAAACGGAAUGGCGUAGCUGUGAGGAGUUGUUUAGUUUUAGCUUUCUUAAAGCACUUAUGAUUUAGUUAUGUCAAAACUAUGUUAGUUGUUAAGUUUCAACUUUAGUUUUAUUAAAUGGAUAAUUAUGCUGCUAAGUUAUAAUAUGUUUAAGUUAUGAAUUUAUGUUAGCCUUGUGCUUUCCGAUCGGGAAGUACGGCGGUAACGCACUGACCUUCUAGGUUCCGUUGCUAACGACUCUUUAGUUAACUUAUUAAGGAUGCUUAGAGGUCGGGGCGUUACAGGUUAUUCUGGAGAAGAUUACGGAGGAAGUCACAGAGAAAGUGUCGGAUAAAAUCACAUAAAGUUCCAACGCGGUCCUUCCACAGUUUGGUAUACUGAUGAUACGUCUACCUAAACUGGACUGUCCUUUGGAGGACAAAGCUAGCCAUCCUAACACACCAAAAUCAACACCAUCUAUUAUACUUGAGUUAGAAUAAGAAACGCUUUGCCAGCUUUAAAUGGAUGUAAAAGAUGAGGGUUUGAUUGUGGUGGAUGAAGGAAAUGCACAACCACGAAGUGAACGAGCAAUAGUCCAUCACGAGUAUGUGGACAAUGAGCACUUGGCGGUUAGUGUAGUCACCAUCACUCCUGGUUACGAAUACUUUGCUCUUCCGUUGCCUAAACCAUCAGUUGAUAUAAAUGUCUUAAUCGAUGCUCGUGGUGGUUAUGUGUUGUGGCCAUCGGCAUGGGUGAGGUUUCCAGACGAGCUUUUGGAGAAAAUAAAUAAGCCCAAGGAAAGCAAGGCAGACUCACUCCUCUAGAAAAGGCGAAAGAGAAGAAAGGUUCAAGCAGGCCAAAGAAGGCCAUUUCGGGUAAAGGAAUGCAAGACUCCAAAGGUUCAAGUCGCCAACAAAACCCCUAUAAAGAUACUUGGAUUGAGAAACUAACGCUUCAGUGUCUCACUAAGGCAUGCUUAUGGCUACAUGCAAAUGUGCGUGAUAUGCCAGAUGAUACACUUGUGGAGGUGAAGUUGGGUACCACGAAAUUCAACUACCAUGAGGAAACAUUGACAUGGGUGUCUAAGGUUGAUGUUGAGUUCCUUUGUGGAGAGAUGUUGAAUGUUUCCUUGAUUCAAGCCUUCAUGAGUCUCCAUUGGUCGCUCCUUGUGAUUGUCCUUCAAAUAAUACUGUAUAUCAGUUUUAUUAUGCAUCUCAAGAUCGAUCAUUACUCCUCAAAUCAUGCAUAUAUAUAGUUCUUUAAAGAAAUUCGAGAGAACAGGAAAAGUUCCUCAAUGGAAAGCAAUGAAGUGUGUUCAACUAAUCGGGGGAAUCAAGUGCGGCUACUAUUUGUUGAGGUUCAUGUUCAAUAUAAUCUCAAGUUGCAAGGAUGACGAGGAUCUUGAGAAGUUACUAUACAUAACUCAUAAGUAGCUCAAUUUAGGGCCGAUUUUUGGCCUAGUAAACUCAAUUUUUUUUACUUUCCCGCAUUUAGCCAUAUGUUAGGUCAUAUAUACUUAUAAGAAGUACAUAUAGAACCAUUAGAGUCAAGUAAACUAUAUUCACAUCAUUUAAGACCCAUUUUGGGUAAAUGUAUGUGAUUUAGGGCCGAUAUUGGAUUUUCAUGUUUAUUGAUGAUUUUAAAAAGUAAUACUGCAAGUGCACGGUGUCUGUUGUCAGAAGAGACUUAGUAAA